AUGCCAGGUGUACCGAGGCAACUCGCUGAGCACACACUUAAUGUGGAUCCUAAAUAUAAACCGGUGAAACAGUUCCUCCGCCGAUUUAACGAAGAAAGACGCAAGGCAAUUGGAGAAGAGGUAGCCAGGCUCUUGGCAGCUGGCUUUAUUAUUGAAGUUUUUCACCCUGAGUGGCUUGCCAAUCCGGUGCUGGUCCUUAAGAAAAACGGCACCUGGCGCAUGUGUGUAGAUUACACAGAUCUUAAUAAGGCUUGUCCAGCAGAUCCUUUUGCCCUCCCCCAUAUUGAUCAAAUCAUUGAUGCUACGGCGGGUUGUGAGCGUUUAAGUUUUUUGGACGCAUAUUCUGGCUAUCAUCAGAUCAAGAUGGCAGUUAAGGACCAGGAGAAGACGGCAUUCAUAACUCCCUUUGGAGCCUUCUGCUAUGUGUCUAUGCCUUUUGAGCUCAAAAGUGCCCAGGCAACUUAUCAACAGUGUGUACAAAAUUGUCUUCACAAGCAGAUUGGCUGUAAUGUACAUGCUUACAUGGAUGAUAUCGUAGUUAAAUCCAGGGAGAAGGAGACUCUGAUUGACGAUUUGAAGGAAACCUUUGAUAACCUAAGGACGUACAAGAUGAUGCUCAAUCCGGACAAGUGUGUCUUUGGUGUACCGGCGGGCAAGUUAUUGGGUUUUCUAGUGUCCAACAGGGGAAUUGAGGCUAAUCCGGAGAAGAUCACAGCCAUCACCUCCCUGGCUAAACCGAAGUGUAUCAAUGAUGUUCAAUGCCUGGCAGGCCGGAUUGCCGCGUUAAGCCGGUUUAUCAGCCGCCUUGGGGAGAAGGCGAUCCCUUUAUAUCAGAUGUUAAAGAAGACGGAUCAGUUCAUCUGGAGUUCUGCUGCGGAUGAAGCAUUUGAGGACUUAAAGCGGCAAUUGGCCAAUCCGCCUGUGUUCGCCGCUCCCAUUGACAAGGAGCCGUUACUGCUAUAUGUUGCUGCUACUGCUCGUGCGGUCAGCGUGGCUAUGGUGGUGGAGCGAAAGGACACAGGUAAGGAGCAUCCGGUUCAACGUCCGGUCUAUUAUAUCAGCGAGGUACUCAUUGAGUCCAAGCAAAGGUAUCCGCAUUGGCAGAAGUUGGUGUACGGAGUUUUUAUGGCAAGCCGGAAGCUUAAGCAAUACUUCCAAAGGCACCCAAUUACAGUGGUCAGUUCUGCUCCUUUGGGGGAUAUCAUCCAGAACCGGGAAGCAACUGGCCGGAUUGCAAAGUGGGCUAUAGAGCUGGGACCGUACGGUUUGAAGUAUGUGCCCCGAACAGCGGUUAAGUCUCAAGCACUUGUUGAUUUCAUCAAUGAUUGGACGGAAAUGCAAGCACCUGAAGAAAAGCCGGAUCAUACGUAUUGGACCAUCCAUUUUGACGGAUCCAGGCAGUUGGAAGGCUCGGGGGCUGGAGUCGUAUUAACUUCCCCAUGA
rnacentral:rRNA from 1 species